GCCUACGGCCAUACCACCCUGAACACGCCCGAUCUCGUCUGAUCUCGGAAGCUAAGCAGGGUCGGGCCUGGUUAGUACUUGUUGGCU
rnacentral:rRNA from 1 species